GACGAACCGUGCAAACGUUUAUUCGGAAUCACUGGGCUUAAAGGGCGCGUAGGCGGGCCGCCAGGUCCGGGGUGAAAGCCUCCAGCUCAACUGGAGAAGUGCCUUGGAUACCGGCGGCCUCGAGGGAGGUAGGGGCGUGCGGAACUUCGGGUGGAGCGGUGAAAUGCGUAGAUAUCCGAAGGAACACCGGUGGCGAAAGCGGCGCGCUGGAUCUCUUCUGACGCUGAGGCGCGAAAGCCAGGGGAGCAAACGGG
rnacentral:rRNA from 1 species